GCCUCCGUAGGUCAUGGCAGACCACCUGAAAAUAUUGGGGAAUAUGUACAAAUGCUUCUUCAGGAGAAGUGGGUUCGACUCCCGCCGGAGGCA